UCAAACCUCAGUUAAUCUUAUGCCACUUGGAAAUCUAGUAGCAGACAAGAGUUUUUAGGCUGAGAUUCUAUGCUACUAGAUUUCCAGGUGGCAUAAGAUUAACUGAGACUUGA